rnacentral:rRNA from 1 species
UUACUAGAGUAGCACUCGCAUAUCAAUAAGCGGAGGAAAAGAAACUAACUAGGAUUCCCUCAGUAACGGCGAGUGAAGCGGGAAGAGCUCAAAUUUGAAAUCUUCAAGGUUUUACCUUGACGAAUUGUAGUUUAAAGAAGUGUUUUCUGUUGGUGUUUUGGUAAAAGUUCUUUGGAAUAGGACAUCAUAGAGGGUGAGAAUCCCGUAUUUGACCAUUACUUCCAGCGUUGUGAUACACUUUCAAAGAGUCGGAUUGUUUGGGAAUGCAGUCCAAAAUGGGUGGUAAAUUUCAUCUAAAGCUAAAUACUGGCGAGAGACCGAUAGCGAACAAGUACCGUGAGGGAAAGAUGAAAAGAACUUUGAAAAGAGAGUUAAACAGUACGUGAAAUUGUCAGAAGGGAAGCGUUUGACACCAGUGUUGUUUUCUCGAAAAUCAAUUAAAAAUGGUGGAUUCAUGCUGUUGUAUUGACCUUUAUCAGCUUCUGCAAUUUGUUUCUGGUCUCUUUUUAAUGCACUUUUCAGUUUAACAAGUCAACAUCAAUUUCUUUUGUUGUAAAAGAGGUAAUAGGAAGGUGGCUUUCUCUUCGGCGCAAGUGUUUAUAGCCUUUGACCUCUGCAGUCGGAGAGAUUGAGGUCUGCAGCGUAGAUCCUUCGGGGUUAGAUACAUUUGUGCUAAGCUAUAGCCUUGUAUAGACAACUUGUUGACUAUGCUCAGUCAUGUAGCUUACUCGCUUAUGCUAUUUUACCUACGCUUAGGAUGUUGAUAGUCACAGCGUGUAC